rnacentral:lncRNA from 1 species
AGCAAAGUGAACUUGAUUACAAUUUAGAUCAGAUCUUUUACCACUUGUCAUUUCUGAAGAAUCAGAACAUGGACACCAAGUGAUACAAAGCUAGAAGCUCAUUUUAUUUCUGUUUCUUCUCUGUCUUCUUCACCUUCUUAGUGGUCUUCUUCUGGAGCUUCUUAAUUUCAUGCUUAAUGAUCCUGUUUCUCAUUUUCUUUGCCUUCAUAACCUUGUAACGAUCGAAGUCAGUCAUUUUGGCUUUCUUUUCUCUGGCUUCAAUCUUCUUCGCCCAUCGUGUUGCUGCCCACUUCUCAUUUAUAUUCUCCUUCUCCCAGGCACGACGCACACACUUCUGACGAGCGCUGUGCGGGAACUUGAGAACAAAGUCAGUCAGCUGCAUGCACUUGAAGGGCAUGGCUUGUCUUCUGACACCACUGCAGGGGCCAUCCACUAGCGCCCUGUUCUGGUCGAUAACAUCCACGAUGGCCACCAGCUUGCCAGCAUGCCUCCCGAAGGAGACGAAGGCGAUUCUGCCGAUCUCGACGAAGCGUUUGAACACCAUGAUGGCCGCCCGCGAGCAGAAAGGGAAGGGCGGGCCCCGCGCCGGCCGGAAGCCGCCCUCGAGGCGCUACCGCGCAUGUGCGGAGGCGGGAUCGAGCUCGCCCUGCUCAGCGCGCCCGCGCGGAACGCUCUCUUCGGCUCAAGGCCGGUCAGGAAUGGCGGCGUGCCAAUACGCAUGCGCGGUGGGCUGCGCGGCUCUGCGUGCGUGUACGUGCUGGGGUGCGCUGCAGAGGUGGCGUGCAGCCAUGUCCCGAGAGACGGGCAGCCCGCGAGCAUCCGCACAGCGCUGCCACUGCGAACUGGUGCUGCUGCCGCACGAAGGUGCCACCGGGCCCUGCACACCAUCAGGGCGUGGCAGAAAAGCUCCGUCAGCUCGCUGUGUGCGCACGUACGUGUUCUGCAGGGUUUGAUUCUGUAAGCAUUAGCCAAAAACGUGCCGUGGGAAAGAAGAGAGUAAGCAAAAUGCACCGCAGAGCACUGAUGGAAAACAGGUCUGACCUUUGUUCUGCUGUGUUUUCUGUCAGCAGUGAGAAUAAAUAUCCCAGUUUAGCUGUCUGAAGUGUGGCCUUUAUUGUUUUUGUUUCUAGAAGAAAACAGAGCCAGUAAAUAAAGCACUCGAUUCACAGUCAUAGCAUCCUCAGAGUUGGAAGGGACCUUUAAAGGCCAUCCAGUCCAACUCCCCUGCAGUGAACAGGGACACCUACAGCUCCAUCGGGUGCUCAGCCCCAUCCAGCCCCACCUUCAGUGUCUCUGGGGAUGGAGCAUCCGCCUCCUCUCAGGGCAGCCUAUCCCAGUGCCUCACCACCCUCACUCCCCCCUUCAGGCGCUGAAGCCUGCUGUCA